rnacentral:rRNA from 1 species
GACGAACGCUGGCGGCGCGCCUAACACAUGCAAGUCGAACGAGCGAGAGAGAGCUUGCUUUCUUGAGCGAGUGGCGAACGGGUGAGUAACGCGUGAGGAACCUGCCUCAAAGAGGGGGACAACAGUUGGAAAUGACUGCUAAUACCGCAUAAGCCCACGGCUCGGCAUCGAGCAGAGGGAAAAGGAGCAAUCCGCUUUGAGAUGGCCUCGCGUCCGAUUAGCUAGUUGGUGAGGUAACGGCCCACCAAGGCGACGAUCGGUAGCCGGACUGAGAGGUUGAACGGCCACAUUGGGACUGAGACACGGCCCAGACUCCUACGGGAGGCAGCAGUGGGGAAUAUUGCACAAUGGGGGAAACCCUGAUGCAGCGACGCCGCGUGGAGGAAGAAGGUCUUCGGAUUGUAAACUCCUGCUGUUGAGGAAGAUAAUGACGGUACUCAACAAGGAAGUGACGGCUAACUACGUGCCAGCAGCCGCGGUAAAACGUAGGUCACAAGCGUUGUCCGGAAUUACUGGGUGUAAAGGGAGCGCAGGCGGGAAGACAAGUUGGAAGUGAAAUCCAUGGGCUCAACCCAUGAACUGCUUUCAAAACUGUUUUUCUUGAGUAGUGCAGAGGUAGGCGGAAUUCCCGGUGUAGCGGUGGAAUGCGUAGAUAUCGGGAGGAACACCAGUGGCGAAGGCGGCCUACUGGGCACCAACUGACGCUGAGGCUCGAAAGUGUGGGUAGCAAACAGGAUUAGAUACCCUGGUAGUCCACACUGUAAACGAUGAUUACUAGGUGUUGGAGGAUUGACCCCUUCAGUGCCGCAGUUAACACAAUAAGUAAUCCACCUGGGGAGUACGACCGCAAGGUUGAAACUCAAAGGAAUUGACGGGGGCCCGCACAAGCAGUGGAGUAUGUGGUUUAAUUCGACGCAACGCGAAGAACCUUACCAAGUCUUGACAUCCUGCGACGCACAUAGAAAUAUGUGUUUCCUUCGGGACGCAGAGACAGGUGGUGCAUGGUUGUCGUCAGCUCGUGUCGUGAGAUGUUGGGUUAAGUCCCGCAACGAGCGCAACCCUUAUGGUCAGUUACUACGCAAGAGGACUCUGGCCAGACUGCCGUUGACAAAACGGAGGAAGGUGGGGAGGACGUCAAAUCAUCAUGCCCUCUAUGACUUGGGCUACACACGUACUACAAUGGCGUUAAACAAAGAGAAGCAAGACCGCGAGGUGGAGCAAAACUCAGAAACAACGUCCCAGUUCGGACUGCAGGCUGCAACUCGCCUGCACGAAGUCGGAAUUGCUAGUAAUCGCAGAUCAGCAUGCUGCGGUGAAUACGUUCCCGGGCCUUGCACU